UACGUAGGGUGCAAGCGUUAAUCGGAAUUACUGGGCGUAAAGCGCGCGUAGGUGGUUCAGUAAGUUGGAUGUGAAAUCCCCGGGCUCAACCUGGGAACUGCUUUCAAAACUGCUGAGCUAGAGUACGGUAGAGGGUGGUGGAAUUUCCUGUGUAGCGGUGAAAUGCGUAGAUAUAGGAAGGAACACCAGUGGCGAAGGCGACCACCUGGACUGAUACUGACACUGAGGUGCGAAAGCGUGGGGAGCAAACAGG
rnacentral:rRNA from 1 species